UACGGAGGAUGCAAGCGUUAUCCGGAAUGAUUGGGCGUAAAGCGUCCGCAGGUGGCUGUGUAAGUCUGCUGUCAAAGAGCGAAGCUCAACUUCGUAAAGGCAGUGGAAACUACACGGCUAGAGUGCGUUCGGGGCAGAGGGAAUUCCUGGUGUAGCGGUGAAAUGCGUAGAGAUCCGGAAGAACACCGGUGGCGAAGGCGGCCUGCUGGGCAGUUUAGCUGACACUGAGGCGCGACAGCGUGGGGAGCAAACAGG
rnacentral:rRNA from 1 species